GACGAACGCUGGCGGCGUGCUUAACACAUGCAAGUCGAACGGAAAGGCCCUGCUUUUGUGGGGUGCUCGCGUGGCGAACGGGUGAGUAACACGUGAGUAACCUGCCCUUGACUUUGGGAUAACUUCAGGAAACUGGGGCUAACACCGGAUAGGAGCUCCUGCUGCAUGGUGGGGGUUGGAACGUUUCGGCGGUUGGGGAUGGACUCGCGGCUUAUCAGCUUGUUGGUGGGGUAGUGGCUUACCAAGGCUUUGACGGGUAGCCGGCCUGAGUGGGUGACCGGCCACAUUGGGACUGAGAUACGGCCCAGACUCCUACGGGAGGCAGCAGUGGGGAAUAUUGCACAAUGGGCGGAAGCCUGAUGCAGCAACGCCGCGUGCGGGAUGACGGCCUUCGGGUUGUAAACCGCUUUCGCCUGUGACGAGGCGUGAGUGACGGUAAUGGGUAAAGAAGCACCGGCUAACUACGUG
rnacentral:rRNA from 1 species